rnacentral:rRNA from 1 species
UAUUAUUUAAAAUGUAAAUAUAAAUACUUAAGUAGUAAUAGUUAAGUUCUUGAAACUUAAAAAAUUUGGCGGUAUUUUAGUCUAUCCAGAGGAACCUGUUUUGUAAUCGAUAAUCCACGAUGGACCUUACUUAAGUUUGUAAUCAGUUUAUAUACCGUCGUUAUCAGAAUAUUUUAUAAGAAUAUUAAUAUUCAAUAAUUUUUAUUAAAAUUUAUAUCAGAUCAAGGUGUAGCUUAUAUUUAAGUAAUAAUGGGUUACAAUAAAUUUAUUUAAACGGAUAAAAUUAUGAAAAAAUUUUUGAAGGUGGAUUUGGUAGUAAAAUUAUAAAGAUUAAUAAUUUGAUUUUAGCUCUAAAAUAUGUACACAUCGCCCGUCGCUCUUAUUAUUAAGGUAAGAUAAGUCGUAACAUAGUAGAUGUACUGGAAAGUGUAUCUAGAAUGA